UGAGGCCUCCCCCCAGAGGGGCCCCUGCCUCUGGAACUGGAGACAAGUCUGGCCCCAUCUUCUCCCCGGGAACACAGCCAACCCAGAUGUUUCCCAGCCCCUCCCCUGACCAGCCCUCCCUAAUGGGCCCACCUCCAGCGUUUCUCUCACCUUCCAGACCCUUCCUCAUGUCUUGCCCCAGAGUUCUGCCCCCAGCUGGAGAGGGGCCAAGGACCUGACUCUUGCCUCCGUUUUGCUGAGGUUUGACAUUCCUUCGCCUUCACCGCCCGCUUUUGGUAUUCUCAGAAGGAACCGGCCUUUGUCUGCAGACUGGCUCUCAGGACAGGGAAGCUGGCAGAAGAACAUGCCUUUGCUCUGAUGCCCCUGAGCCAGAGACAGGCCCUAAGGAUGACAAAUAUACACAGACCAUGGGGUGUGCCUGCGUGGGCCCCAGGGGGUCCUGCUCCUGAGGUGUGGGACACCAUCCCCAGGCUCCUGGGAGUCGUUGGACAAUUGUUUGAAUCAGUGAUGCCCUGGCCACCCCAGUCUGCUGAUUCGGUGAGGCUGACUGCUCCAGGAGCCUGGUAGGAGUGGAAUUCCUGGUCUUCUUCAGGGAGGCCGAUUGGUUCCUUUCUGACUGGCCUGUUUCACUUGGCGUCACGUCCUCAAGCUGAGGAAAGCGGCCAUGCAGGACGGUUAGCUUGCCCAAGAUGUCACAGCCAGCCAUGGGUGACCCACCCUGCAGCCGGGACAGGCUGUGCAGCCUCAUGCGGGGCCCAGGGGACACCAGUUGGGAUGUAAUUCCAGCCUGAGAAGGUCGCUCCUUGGAAUCCUGGUUCCUUUGUGGUUGUGUCGUAUUUGAUUUGUACAAGUCUGGAGUCUCUUACUUGCAACUACAAAAUUCAAAAUUCUCUGAAAACUGAAAGUUUGUCAGAUCUGACCUGAUUGUAGGCCACUGAGGGUCUUCAUUACUCUAUAUUUAUGUUUUGUACAGAGUCAGGAAUGUGUGUGUUGUUCUGUGUGGUGUUUUGAUUAAAGAGGGCUUCCAAUCCUGCUGGGGAUAUUAAAUAAUAUGCAGUUUAGUAA